GUCAGAGAAGGCCCCGAGGGAGCCCUUGGAGCCCCAGGUCCUUCAGGACGAUCUCCCAAUUAGCCUCAAAAAGGUGCUUCAGACCAGUCUGCCUGAGCCCCUGAGGAUCAAGUUGGAGCUGGACGGUGACAGUCAUAUCCUGGAGCUGCUACAGAAUAGGGAGUUGGUCCCAGGCCGCCCAACCCUGGUGUGGUACCAGCCCGAUGGCACUCGGGUGGUCAGUGAGGGACACACUUUGGAGAACUGCUGCUACCAGGGAAGAGUGCGGGGAUAUGCAGGCUCCUGGGUGUCCAUCUGCACCUGCUCUGGGCUCAGGCUUGGUGGUCCUGACCCCAGAGAGAAGCUAUACCCUGGAGCAGGGGCCUGGGGACCUUCAGGGUCCUCCCAUUAUUUCGCGAAUCCAAGAUCUCCACCUGCCAGGCCACACCUGUGCCCUGAGCUGGCGGGAAUCUGUACACACUCAGAAGCCACCAGAGCACCCCCUGGGACAGCGCCACAUUCGCCGGGCGGGAUGUGGUAACAGAGACCAAGACUGUGGAGUUGGUGAUUGUGGCUGAUCACUCGGAGGCCCAGAAAUACCGGGACUUCCAGCACCUGCUAAACCGCACACUGGAAGUGGCCCUCUUGCUGGACACAUUCUUCCGGCCCCUGAAUGUACGAGUGGCACUAGUGGGCCUGGAGGCCUGGACCCAGCGUGACCUGGUGGAGAUCAGCCCAAACCCAGCUGUCACCC
rnacentral:lncRNA from 1 species